UACGUAGGGGGCAAGCGUUGUCCGGAUUUAUUGGGCGUAAAGAGCGUGUAGGCGGCUAGGUAGGUCCGUUGUGAAAACUCGAGGCUCAACCUCGAGACGCCGAUGGAAACCAUCUAGCUAGAGUCCGGAAGAGGAGAGUGGAAUUCCUGGUGUAGCGGUGAAAUGCGCAGAUAUCAGGAAGAACACCGGUGGCGAAAGCGCUCUGCUAGGCCGCAACUGACACUGAGGGACGAAAGGCUAGGGGAGCGAAUGGG
rnacentral:rRNA from 1 species